GAUGAACGCUAGCUACAGGCUUAACACAUGCAAGUCGAGGGGCAGCAUGGUCUUAGCUUGCUAAGGCCGAUGGCGACCGGCGCACGGGUGAGUAACACGUAUCCAACCUGCCGUCUACUCUUGGACAGCCUUCUGAAAGGAAGAUUAAUACAAGAUGGCAUCAUGAGUCCGCAUGUUCACAUGAUUAAAGGUAUUCCGGUAGACGAUGGGGAUGCGUUCCAUUAGAUAGUAGGCGGGGUAACGGCCCACCUAGUCUUCGAUGGAUAGGGGUUCUGAGAGGAAGGCCCCCCACACUGGAACUGAGACACGGUCCAG
rnacentral:rRNA from 1 species